AAAAAGUAAGCUAAAUAAGCUACUGGGUUCAUACCCCAAUUGUGGAAAAUGAAAUAUUCCUCUUUUUA
rnacentral:tRNA from 1 species